AAUUCCUAUGUACUGUUUAUCAUUGUUAGGCAUGCUUUUCACAUGAAUCCCCUCUAAACGGACCUAGCGAGUCACAGAACGAUUUGUCAUAUUGUUAUAGAGAGGAAAAUAAGCCACACGAUCCCUUUCAUGUCGACGAGGUGGCCGAGUGGUUAAGGCGAUGGACUGCUAAUCCAUUGUGCUCUGCACGCGUGGGUUCGAAUCCCACCUUCGUCGGAAAGAGCUUCUUUAGUCAUCAAACUAACAGUGAACGUUGACCUCCGGUCAAAAGUGCAAUGUUUGCUCUGAGGUGCUCUUUCCAUUCUACCUGACACUGAUUUGAAAGAAAGAAUUUCUCUACGGCAAACGACAACCAAGACUUCCUCCGAUUUGGCCGAAAGGUCAGGGAGGUGGACUGCGAAUCUGCUUUGCUCUGGAUGCGUGAGAUCCAAUCCUAACUUCAACAACAAAGGCUGUCUUCAAACAUGACACAACUGUUGUACACUGAUGUGCACUUGAGGUCAGACGCGCAAUACCCUUUCUAACAUGCUAUUUCAGUACUUCAUGACGCCCACAGUUCAAUACCAGCUGACGUUUCACCGUCCAGUAAGGAAACAGGUGGGCAAAAGUUUAGGCCAUAGAAAAUUCCUAUGUACUGUUUAUCAUUGUUAGGCAUGCUUUUCACAUGAAUCCCCUCUAAACGGACCUAGCGAGUCACAGAACGAUUUGUCAUAUUGUUAUAGAGAGGAAAAUAAGCCACACGAUCCCUUUCAUGUCGACGAGGUGGCCGAGUGGUUAAGGCGAUGGACUGCUAAUCCAUUGUGCUCUGCACGCGUGGGUUCGAAUCCCACCUUCGUCGGAAAGAGCUUCUUUAGUCAUCAAACUAACAGUGAACGUUGACCUCCGGUCAAAAGUGCAAUGUUUGCUCUGAGGUGCUCUUUCCAUUCUACCUGACACUGAUUUGAAAGAAAGAAUUUCUCUACGGCAAACGACAACCAAGACUUCCUCCGAUUUGGCCGAAAGGUCAGGGAGGUGGACUGCGAAUCUGCUUUGCUCUGGAUGCGUGAGAUCCAAUCCUAACUUCAACAACAAAGGCUGUCUUCAAACAUGACACAACUGUUGUACACUGAUGUGCACUUGAGGUCAGACCCGCAAUACCCUUUCUAACAUGCUAUUUCAGUACUUCAUGACGCCCACAGUUCAAUACCAGCUGACGUUUCACCGUCCAGUAAGGAAACAGGUGGGCAAAAGUUCAGGCCAUAGAAAAUUCCUAUGUACUGUUUAUCAUUGUUAGGCAUGCUUUUCACAUGAAUCCCCUCUAAACGGACCUAGCGAGUCACAGAACGAUUUGUCAUAUUGUUAUAGAGAGGAAAAUAAGCCACACGAUCCCUUUCAUGUCGACGAGGUGGCCGAGAGGUUAAGGCGAUGGACUGCUAAUCCAUUGUGCUCUGCACGCGUGGGUUCGAAUCCCACCUUCGUCGAACAGGCUUUCUUUAGUCAUCAAAUUAAAUGUUGAUCUCAGGUCGAUAUUGCAAUGCUUUCUCUGAGAUGGUAUCACAAUUCUCCAUCACACCUACUUAAAAGAAAAGACUUUCUCUAUGGCAAACGACCCCUAACAACUUUUACGAGUUGGCUGAAAGCUUUAGCAGAAGAUCCCUUCUUCGUUGAAAAGGCUGUCUUUAGUCAUCAAAGUAAAGUUGAACCAUGGUCUGCUCCUGAGGUCAAAGGUGUUAUUCUUGUGCUGAGAUGAUAUUGCAAUUCUCCAUGAAACCUAUCCAAAAGAAGAAAUUUCUAUAUGGCAAACGACACACUAUGCCUUUUCCCAAUUGACUGAACGGUUAGAGGGAUGGACUGUUAACCUGUUGAGCUCCGCACACAUGGGAUUGAAUCCCAUCAUUGUCAAAAAGGCUAUAUUUAGUCACCAAACUAAUGUUGUACCUUGAUCUGCUCCCGAGGUCAAAGGUUCAAUUUCUGUUCUGAGAUGAUAGUUCAAUUCUCCAUGAAACCUACGUAAAAGAAAAAAAUUCAACACGGCAAAAAACUCCUAAUUCUUUUUCCGAGCUGGACGAAAGUUUAGGGAGGUGGAUUUCUAAUCCGUUGUGCUCUGGAUGCAUGGGAUCCAAACCCAGCUUCGUCUACGAGGACAUCUUUAAAUAUCACACAAUUGUUGAAGACUGAUGUGCUCUUGAAGUCAAGUGUGCAUUACUGGAUCUCAGUUGCUAUUUCAAUAUUUCAGGACGCCACCUUAUUUAGUGUAAAAAGUUUGGCCGACAUUUCAGUACCAAAUGACACUUCACUGUCCAGUAAAUAAACAGGGCGUCAAAAACGUAGGGCAUCGAAGGUUCCACUGUACUGUUUGACAUUUGUAGACAUGUGUUUGACAUGAAUCUCUGUUAAACAAACAUAGUUAGCUCUAGAAAGAUUUAUUUUAUUAUCACAGAAAAGUACAAGUGCAGUGCUUGUUCUGAGAUGCUAUGGCAGUACUCCAUGACACGCACUCUACAUAUUGUUAAAAAUAUAUGAAUGACAUUUUAAUGUGUAGUACAGAAACAGGUGGGCAAAAAUUUAGGCCAUAGAAAGUUGCAGUGUACUGUUUCUAAAGGUUAGACAUGUGUUUGCCAUUCAGCCCUCUUAAAUGGACAUAGUUAGCGCUAGAACGCUUAGAUUUGUUCUUAUAGCGAGGAACACGCACCUCUGCUCCCUCGUGUGGACGAGGUGGCCGAGUGGUUAAGGCGAUGGACUGCUAAUCCAUUGUGCUCUGCACGCGUGGGUUCGAAUCCCACCUUCGUCGGAAAGAGCUUCUUUAGUCAUCAAACUAACAGUGAACGUUGACCUCCGGUCAAAAGUGCAAUGUUUGCUCUGAGGUGCUCUUUCCAUUCUACCUGACACUGAUUUGAAAGAAAGAAUUUCUCUACGGCAAACGACAACCAAGACUUCCUCCGAUUUGGCCGAAAGGUCAGGGAGGUGGACUGCGAAUCUGCUUUGCUCUGGAUGCGUGAGAUCCAAUCCUAACUUCAACAACAAAGGCUGUCUUCAAACAUGACACAACUGUUGUACACUGAUGUGCACUUGAGGUCAGACGCGCAAUACCCUUUCUAACAUGCUAUUUCAGUACUUCAUGACGCCCACAGUUCAAUACCAGCUGACGUUUCACCGUCCAGUAAGGAAACAGGUGGGCAAAAGUUUAGGCCAUAGAAAAUUCCUAUGUACUGUUUAUCAUUGUUAGGCAUGCUUUUCACAUGAAUCCCCUCUAAACGGACCUAGCGAGUCACAGAACGAUUUGUCAUAUUGUUAUAGAGAGGAAAAUAAGCCACACGAUCCCUUUCAUGUCGACGAGGUGGCCGAGAGGUUAAGGCGAUGGACUGCUAAUCCAUUGUGCUCUGCACGCGUGGGUUCGAAUCCCACCUUCGUCGAACAGGCUUUCUUUAGUCAUCAAAUUAAAUGUUGAUCUCAGGUCGAUAUUGCAAUGCUUUCUCUGAGAUGGUAUCACAAUUCUCCAUCACACCUACUUAAAAGAAAAAACUUUCUCUAUGGCAAACGACCCCUAACAACUUUUACGAGUUGGCCAAAAGUUUUAGCAGAAGAUCCCUUCUUCGUUGAAAAGGCUGUCUUUAGUCAUCAAAGUAAAGUUGAACCAUGGUCUGCUCCUGAGGUCAAAGGUGUUAUUCUUGUGCUGAGAUGAUAUUGCAAUUCUCCAUGAAACCUAUCCAAAAGAAGAAAUUUCUAUAUGGCAAACGACACACUAUGCCUUUUCCCAAUUGACUGAACGGUUAGAGGGAUGGACUGUUAACCUGUUGAGCUCCGCACACAUGGGAUUGAAUCCCAUCAUUGUCAAAAAGGCUAUAUUUAGUCACCAAACUAAUGUUGUACCUUGAUCUGCUCCCGAGGUCAAAGGUUCAAUUUCUGUUCUGAGAUGAUAGUUCAAUUCUCCAUGAA